rfam:Brachypodium distachyon strain Bd21 chromosome 3, whole genome shotgun sequence.
UAUUUACUCCCUCCGUCCAACAAAGGAUGUCUCAACUUUGACCAAAUUUGAAUGCAUCUAUACACUAAGUCAUGUCUAGAUACAUCCAAAUUUUGACAAACUUGAGACAUCUUUUGUUGGACAGAGAGAGUAUUUA